GAUGAACGCUGGCGGCGUGCUUAACACAUGCAAGUCGAACGGUGAAGCUCCAGCUUGCUGGCGUGGAUCAGUGGCGAACGGGUGAGUAACACGUGAGCAACCUGCCCCUGACUCUGGGAUAACAGCCGGAAACGGCUGCUAAUACCGGAUAUGCACCAUGAACGCAUGUUCUGUGGUGGGAAAGAUUUUUCGGUUGGGGAUGGGCUCGCGGCCUAUCAGCUUGUUGGUGAGGUAAUGGCUCACCAAGGCGUCGACGGGUAGCCGGCCUGAGAGGGUGACCGGCCACACUGGGACUGAGACACGGCCCAGACUCCUACGGGAGGCAGCAGUGGGGAAUAUUGCACAAUGGGCGAAAGCCUGAUGCAGCAACGCCGCGUGAGGGAUGACGGCCUUCGGGUUGUAAACCUCUUUUAGCAGGGAAGAAGCGAGAGUGACGGUACCUGCAGAAAAAGCGCCGGCUAACUACGUG
rnacentral:rRNA from 1 species